rnacentral:rRNA from 1 species
UCCUGACUGACCGAUAGUGAACCAGUACCGUGAGGGAAAGGCGAAAAGAACCCCGGCGAGGGGAGUGAAAAAGAACCUGAAACCGUGUACGUACAAGCAGUGGGAGCACGCUUAGGCGUGUGACUGCGUACCUUUUGUAUAAUGGGUCAGCGACUUAUAUUCUGUAGCAAGGUUAACCGAAUAGGGGAGCCGAAGGGAAACCGAGUCUUAACUGGGCGUUAAGUUGCAGGGUAUAGACCCGAAACCCGGUGAUCUAGCCAUGGGCAGGUUGAAGGUUGGGUAACACUAACUGGAGGACCGAACCGACUAAUGUUGAAAAAUUAGCGGAUGACUUGUGGCUGGGGGUGAAAGGCCAAUCAAACCGGGAGAUAGCUGGUUCUCCCCGAAAGCUAUUUAGGUAGCGCCUCGUGAAUUCAUCUCCGGGGGUAGAGCACUGUUUCGGCAAGGGGGUCAUCCCGACUUACCAACCCGAUGCAAACUGCGAAUACCGGAGAAUGUUAUCACGGGAGACACACGGCGGGUGCUAACGUCCGUCGUGAAGAGGGAAACAACCCAGACCGCCAGCUAAGGUCCCAAAGUCAUGGUUAAGUGGGAAACGAUGUGGGAAGGCCCAGACAGCCAGGAUGUUGGCUUAGAAGCAGCCAUCAUUUAAAGAAAGCGUAAUAGCUCACUGGUCGAGUCGGCCUGCGCGGAAGAUGUAACGGGGCUAAACCAUGCACCGAAGCUGCGGCAGCGACGCUUAUGCGUUGUUGGGUAGGGGAGCGUUCUGUAAGCCUGCGAAGGUGUGCUGUGAGGCAUGCUGGAGGUAUCAGAAGUGCGAAUGCUGACAUAAGUAACGAUAAAGCGGGUGAAAAGCCCGCUCGCCGGAAGACCAAGGGUUCCUGUCCAACGUUAAUCGGGGCAGGGUGAGUCGACCCCUAAGGCGAGGCCGAAAGGCGUAGUCGAUGGGAAACAGGUUAAUAUUCCUGUACUUGGUGUUACUGCGAAGGGGGGACGGAGAAGGCUAUGUUGGCCGGGCGACGGUUGUCCCGGUUUAAGCGUGUAGGCUGGUUUUCCAGGCAAAUCCGGAAAAUCAAGGCUGAGGCGUGAUGACGAGGCACUACGGUGCUGAAGCAACAAAUGCCCUGCUUCCAGGAAAAGCCUCUAAGCAUCAGGUAACAUCAAAUCGUACCCCAAACCGACACAGGUGGUCAGGUAGAGAAUACCAAGGCGCUUGAGAGAACUCGGGUGAAGGAACUAGGCAAAAUGGUGCCGUAACUUCGGGAGAAGGCACGCUGAUAUGUAGGUGAAGUCCCUUGCGGAUGGAGCUGAAAUCAGUCGAAGAUACCAGCUGGCUGCAACUGUUUAUUAAAAACACAGCACUGUGCAAACACGAAAGUGGACGUAUACGGUGUGACGCCUGCCCGGUGCCGGAAGGUUAAUUGAUGGGGUCAGCGCAAGCGAAGCUCUUGAUCGAAGCCCCGGUAAACGGCGGCCGUAACUAUAACGGUCCUAAGGUAGCGAAAUUCCUUGUCGGGUAAGUUCCGACCUGCACGAAUGGCGUAAUGAUGGCCAGGCUGUCUCCACCCGAGACUCAGUGAAAUUGAACUCGCUGUGAAGAUGCAGUGUACCCGCGGCAAGACGGAAAGACCCCGUGAACCUUUACUAUAGCUUGACACUGAACAUUGAGCCUUGAUGUGUAGGAUAGGUGGGAGGCUUUGAAGUGUGGACGCCAGUCUGCAUGGAGCCGGCCUUGAAAUACCACCCUUUAAUGUUUGAUGUUCUAACGUGGACCCGUGAUCCGGGUUGCGGACAGUGUCUGGUGGGUAGUUUGACUGGGGCGGUCUCCUCCUAAAGAGUAACGGAGGAGCACGAAGGUUGGCUAAUCCUGGUCGGACAUCAGGAGGUUAGUGCAAUGGCAUAAGCCAGCUUGACUGCGAGCGUGACGGCGCGAGCAGGUGCGAAAGCAGGUCAUAGUGAUCCGGUGGUUCUGAAUGGAAGGGCCAUCGCUCAACGGAUAAAAGGUACUCCGGGGAUAACAGGCUGAUACCGCCCAAGAGUUCAUAUCGACGGCGGUGUUUGGCACCUCGAUGUCGGCUCAUCACAUCCUGGGGCUGAAGUAGGUCCCAAGGGUAUGGCUGUUCGCCAUUUAAAGUGGUACGCGAGCUGGGUUUAGAACGUCGUGAGACAGUUCGGUCCCUAUCUGCCGUGGGCGCUGGAGAACUGAGGGGGGCUGCUCCUAGUACGAGAGGACCGGAGUGGACGCAUCACUGGUGUUCGGGUUGUCAUGCCAAUGGCACUGCCCGGUAGC